UAUUAAAAAUCUUGAAUUGGUCAUAACUUUGUAACAAAUAUAAUUUAUGGUUUAUAGCUAUGUGACCUAUGAGACCUUGACUGUGUGUCAAGGGUUAAAACUAAGUGACUGUGUAUCAAGGGUUAAAACUAUGUGACUGUGUGUCAAAGGGUUUAAGCUAUGUGACUGUGUGUCAAGGGUUAAAACUAAGUGACUGUGUGUCAAGGGUUAAAACUAUGUGACUGUGUGUCAAAGGGUUUAAGCUAUGUGACUGUGUGUCAAAGGGUUUAAGCUAUGUGACUGUGUGUCAAAGGGUUUAAGCUAUGUGACUAUGUGAUAUUUAACGAAAACGUUACGAUUAUUGUCUUUGUGUCAUAAAACUAGUAUUUUGUACAUACUAGCGGUAGUAUACUAUGUGCAGUUUACGUAAAACUACAAUUUCAAAUUAAUUUAAAAAAUUUUAGACCGGAUAUUUGGUGUUUUUCUUUUCUGUUACAGGUUGCAAGCCCUCAUAGUGAAAAUACAGAGCGCCGUGGGACACGGCUGUUGCAGGAUGGCCGAGUGUUAGCGACAUCCGGUCACUCCAGUCCCAACAUGAAGCAUACAGCAUAAAUAUAAUUAUUCUUGUGUUAAAUAUUAAUUAAAUAAUUUAAGAUACUUAAAGUGGGUAAAUGUUUAUUAAAAUUAAUCAUAAAACUAAUUAAUGUUAUUAUAUAGAUUUUGUUUAUCAAAUAUUGUGGGGGUAGUAGUAACUUAAUUUCUGGGUGGGAGGAUUAUCAAAAGUUAUAUAAGUUAUUACAAAUUAGAUGGAGUUGAGUUCAAUUUAUUCAUUGAGUGCUUACUAAGUAGAAACGCUGUAACUAUAAUUAUAGUGUAAUAAAAGUAAUAGAAGUUUG